GGUUACUAAUCAGUUGACUUUGAGAUAGGAGAUUGUUCAGGUGGGCAUAACAUAAUCACACGAACCUUUUAAGCAGAGAGCUUCCUCUGGCUGGUGAAGUAAGAGGAAAUCAGGGAUAUUCAAAGUAUGAGAAGGACUUGACGCAAUGUGACUGGUUUGAAGAUGGAGUGGCUGUGUGAGAAGGAAUGUAGGUAGCCUCUAGGAGCAGAAAGUAGUACUGGCAGCAAAGAAAUGGAGACCUUAGUCCUACAGCCACAAGGAACUGAAUUGUUCAAACAACCUACAUGAGCUUGGAAGUGGGUUCUUCCCCAGAGCCUCCAGAUAAGAGCCCAGCCCAGCUGGCCCCGGGAUUUCAUCCUUGUGAUACCCAUCCUCAUUGUCCAGAUGGUUGGCCAGUCUCUGCAUGAGCACCUCCAGUGAUGGAAGAUGGAAGAGAGGAGGAGGGGGCCUGUUUCAUUUUGAAGGCAGUUCUGAUGAUUAGAAACAUUUUCAAUUGAUUGAACUAGAUUCUGCUGUGUCACUAAGGAUCUUCCUGUUGCAAGAAACAGAAAGCACAACUGAAGCUGGAUUUUAGAAUAAUGAGACUUGAUCAACUCGGUAAUUGAGAAGUUCGGUGUUGGGGCUCGCUCUCCACAGAUCAAAGGACCAUGUUCACCUUCUCCACUCUGAGAGUGUCCUUGAGCCUGUCUAGAUCCCCAGCCCCGAGACUCCAAGUGCCCAGAUGUUCAGAGGGAAGAAGAGGUUCUUUUCCCACCCAGAUCAAGGUCCAUCUUCUGCAUCCUCAUUUGCACCCCAGGUCUGUAUCUUCUCAUCAGAUUGUCCCCUUCUUUCAGGGAAACCCAACCCCAUCCAGAGAU
rnacentral:lncRNA from 1 species